rnacentral:rRNA from 1 species
UACGGGGGGGCAAGCGUUGUUCGGAAUUACUGGGCGUAAAGGGUUCGUAGGUGGCCAACUAAGUCAGACGUGAAAUCCCUCAGCUUAACUGGGGAACUGCGUCUGAUACUGGUUGGCUUGAGUGCAGGAGAGGAACGCGGAAUUCCAGGUGUAGCGGUGAAAUGCGUAGAUAUCUGGAGGAACACCGGUGGCGAAGGCGGCGUUCUGGACUGCAACUGACACUGAGGAACGAAAGCCAGGGAGCAAACGGG